AAGCGUUAUUAUAUAUAAUGUCACCAAAUUCAAACAAAAAGGCUUACAUCUCAUUAGGUUCAUCAACAGGCGCUGACCAAAUGAACAAAAAAACAUAAGCUCAUCCGCUUGCCCAAGCAGUCUGUUUUGUAUAUCUAGAGGCGAAUUGGCAAAGUAGGCUAUAACCUACGAUACCUAAUUUCUGUCUACUGAACCUAAUUUAAGUCCUUUAAGGAGAGGUGGGGGUUGGGGAGCAUUUUUAGGCAGAUUGCAGUAUCGUUUUACCUCGCCCAGGCCUAUUCAAAAUGUAAUUUCCCCCAGUCAGGAAUCUAGCUAAGGGUCUUUUUCACGUUUUCUCUCACCCGCUGACACCAUGCGUACUGUUGCUAAGUAACCGACCUGCGCGGUCCUCUGCCGCCAAAGACCUCUGCUGAGCUCUCGCAGGUUCUGUGUUAGAAUGCAAGCUUGGAACUCAUCGUGAAACAACAGACCACGGUCAACAAAACCUGGUGUAAGAUGUCCGCAAUGCACUGGGAAGCGCGUCGCCGACAGAGCAUGCUGGAUCGCCGCUUGUCGCGGUCCAAGCAGGUUCUAAACAACCCCCCUCAGACUGGCCCAGAAGCUCCCGCAGAGGCUCUGAAAGGCACACCUGUGCAACCAGCAGAAAACGUAUGUGUCAACUGCAAACGUACACCUGUGGAUGCAACUGAAAACGGCGCUAAACUUCAAAACCGAUACAGCGUGAGUAAGAACAUUUGCUAACUUGUUGUUACAUGAACAUAAAUUAAUGUAUUAAUUCACAAUUUCUUAAAGGUGGAGUCCACGAUUCUUGCAAAAGGUUGUUGAUAUUUGAGCUCAACAGCCAAUCAAAUUUACACCCCUCCCUUUUGUGCUUCUGACGCAACUGAUUGGCUGGAAUUGGCUUGGCCAGAGCCACUGGGUUUGCUUCCCAUUUACAGAGCCAGGACUGUAUAUGAAUUUUUUUUUUGAGUGGACACACUGAAUGGACAUCUGAGAUGUCAGUUAGCUGAAUUUGACAAAAUGUCUAUUGGAUUAGAAUCGCAGACUGUGCCUUACAUAUAAUGUAUGCAUGACACA
rnacentral:lncRNA from 1 species